rnacentral:sRNA from 1 species
GUUGGGUGCAGUGGUGCACGCCUAUAAUCCCAGCUGCUUGGGGGCCAGAGGUAGGAGGAUCCCAAGUUCGAGGCCAGCCUGGGCAAUUUAGUGAGAUCCUAUCUCAA